GGGGGUGGGAGAGCGGGUUUGCCGAACUUCUCUCCGAAGGCUGACUGUGUGCAUGCACUUGGCGCCUUGUGCAGGUUUGGACGAGGGUUUCAUGGAGGCACGUGGGAGCAGGAUAGGUCGCUGGUGGGCCCCCCAAAGAGCCUCUUGGGAUGGCCCAGCGCGCCUUUGGGGUUGGGAAGGAAGAGUGUGAGUGUGUGUGAAUGUCCGUCCUACGGAGGAGGAGGAGAAGGAGAGUGGAUCAAGGAGACUUGAUUUUCAUGGAUUGGCUGCAAUUCCUUAAACCAGACCAGAGUUUCGGGGCAUUAAAGUGAAUUACCGGUGGCAGUGUAGAAGCCAAGAUGGGAGCUUCCAGAAGUGCUUUCGGAAAAAUAAGAGUGAACCCGAGUAAGCAAGCACAGGGACCUGAAAAACCACAGAUGGAGAAACUGAGUGCCAAAAGGUUGCAACAUCCUUGAAGUUAUAUAAAGAACUAAAAUAGCAUAUGGCUUAUCUAGGAGGUAAAGAUGGGAACGGCUUCUGCUUGAUUGGCGCCCUCUUGAAGAGAAAUACUUUUGCUCAGCUUGGAAUGAAAUGCAGAUAACUCUUUAGAAAACUUUCGUAGGAAAAAAGCUCCUCGUGUGAUCUGGAACAAAGACAUUUUCUAAUCAGAUUUAUCAAGCUGUGAAGAGGGAGUUUUAGCGAACGGAAGCAGCAGCAUUCUGUCACCAGGAAAUACUGCUUUAUCCAGAAUUGGUUUGGCCACAGCAACAAAGGCGAUGAAAAUGCUUUAUAUCUUUUAGCAUGAAAUGCGAAGUCUACAUCAACAAGCCCCUCCCUAGAAGGCUGCGGAUCAUCUAGCUGCUGGAAUGUGUAGGUACCCUCAAUGGCUCAGUAGCCAGUGUAGAUCCUGUCUUUUGUAAUCAGUAGCUACAUCUGGCUACUGGGUCUCUGAUGGCAUCUUCUACCUUCUGUUACAGUGUCCUGAGUGAGGUUAUUGGGAAGUACUCAAUAAUAAGGCUUUACCUUGAUUUACACACACAUAUACACACAGGAUUAAGUUCUUGGGUGGGUGGUAAGUCUUCCAUUAUUAGCUGGAGUAUGGGAACCAUCAGGGUUUUAUGAAUAAUGAGGUGCAUUUGAUUUCAGCACCACAAAGGGGAGGAAUCUAGAUAUUUUAUCUGUGUAUUGUUUAUCUGUUUUUUCUCUCUCCCUCCCCUGUGGAAGGUAUCAUUUGGUCACAAAACUAUCUGUCUAUCUAUCUAUCUGUCUAUCUAUCUAUCUACCCACCUACCGAUCUAUUUUAUCCAUUGAUCCAUCCAUCUUUUUCAUCUCUUGACGUUUAAAUGGCAUUCUCAAAAUAAUGUGGUAAUUUAAGGAAAUUUCAUUUGUAGUAAAUACAUCCCAGCAGUGCACUUGUGAUUUGUGGUUGUCUUUUCCCUGUGUCGGAGAAGAUAAAUGCCAGAAAUCUUGAAUGCAGGGGGCAUUUAUGUUGAAAUCAUAUGUGGGAAGGCUUGCAGGCACAACAUCCAGGUCUAGGGCAUGAACCUGGCAUACAAUGUAGAUUUCUGUGUUUGUUGGGCAACAGCUACAUUGUCUGCUGGGUUUCAGGCUACCUGGAAACACGUUCUUCAUGGCUAUUUUCAUCAAUGCUUCACCUAUACUGUUUUGGAAUAACUUUUCCAGGUGGCAUAAGCCAGUGGGCUUUAUCAUUGGACAGAGUGCAGAGAAAGGACCCCAUGAAAGCUGAUCACCUUAGCAAAACAUGAUUUUGUUAUGAUUUCACCAAGAUGGUCACACACCAGCCCGGGAAACUCAAUGAACCACAGACCAGGUGUAAUGCCAUCCUUCCUUCUCUCUGCCUCAACUCUCAAGGAUUGGUCACCUACAUGUUAUUAGUAAUUAUUAUUUGGUUUCUGUACAUAUUUACUAUCAGAAGUCAUAGCACCUAUGGGCCUCAUCACACUGCCCUGCUACCUCACAAUUCCUACUCAUUUUGGCUUCCUGUCCACCAGCAGGAACCCGGUUUGGUUUUGUUCUCCUUUUACCACAGCCCUGUAAUUUUUGUGAAGGACUCUCGGUCUCACCAGAAUCCAUAUCUCUCACUCUGUCCCAAUAUCCCACCCCAUUGUUUGCUCCCUGAAGUGAACUCUAGAAUUUAAGUAAACUGGAUUUUUUUUACCACUGUCCACCAUCUCUUAUGAAACCGGAAGAAGAGCAGCUUUCUUAUGGAAUGACCAAGAACUUGUAAAGAUAAACCACCAGUUUGCAGGAGAAAAGGAAGAAAAGAAUGAUGGAAAUAGCUUCUGGAAAACUAUUUUUUACAUUAUGUUUUGUUUGUCUGUUCCUGGUAAAUAAAUUUAAAUCUCUAAGCAUUAAAAAAAAAAUAGACCAAUCUAAACCAUUAAAUUCUCAGUAAUAAAGGAACAUAACUUUUAAAGGAGCUGUUAUAAAUUCUUGGUUAUAUGAACUGGAGAUAUUUAGUUAGUAAACAUGUAUUUUAAAUGAAUAUGACUUAACAGAUUUAAAGUAGAAAAUGAAUAUACGGAAUGAAAGGAUAAAUGUCUGCAUGUAAUAGUCGAUUUUAGUGAUAUAAUGUAUUUUUGUCACCCCAUGCUGAAUUCAGUAAAAAUAAAGCCAAUGACUUGGAGCUUUUAAAA